rnacentral:lncRNA from 1 species
AAGGAAGGAAGGAAGGAAGGAAAAGUCCCAAAGCAUUGUUGCAUAAAAACUGCUAGAUUAAGAGGUUAGCAACUAGCAAGUCCUUCAACAUUGCCUUGCCACCCAGGUUAGCUUAGACAAUAAUGUACCGCUAUCCUUGGUCUUUAGUACACAUUGUUUUUCAUCUUUGAAUGAGAAGGUAGGUUGGGUGGGACCACCCCAUGACCUCAUUGUUUUCUCUGCAGGGAAAUGUGUUUGUGUUGGUAAAGGAAACUCAAUGGCUCUCCGUAUAUGUGUACUUUUAAGUAGUGCCAAAAGUCAGAGGCCAAGGUAAAACUGUCACAAAACAAAAAGAUAAUUUAUAUACUCAGAAUAGUCUGCAAACAAUGUAUUUUUUUUUUUAGUUUUUCCAUUUCCCCAAUAUCUAAAUGUUGAUUUUUAAAAAGGAAAGUCCUGAUCGUCAUUUCCUUGCAUAAGCUAUGUGUACAGAGUUAGUUCAGUGAGGAGUAAAACUCUCCGACGUGCUUACUUUUCUUUUUGUUUUUUUGGAGCGCUUAGGCAACAAAUGUCCUCAUAACAAAUAACUAAAACCCAGGAAGUGUGAACAGUCAUUAUCCGUAUUUACCACUCAAGGAAACUAAGGUGUAGAGGCAUUAAAUAACAUAACAUUAUAUAACAUUAAAUAACAUUAAGUAGCAAGGUCAUGUAUUAACAACUUGAACAAAUUUUAUUUAUUUAAAACAUCAUGGGCUAGUGAGGUGGCUCAGCCAAGGAAAGCACUGAUAACCUGAGUUAGUCCCUGGAUGGCAUAGCAGAAGGAAAGCACUCACUUCCCCAGGUCGUCUUCUGACACACACACACACACACACACACACACACACACAUACAUAAAGUAAGUAAAAGUGAAAUCAAGUCACACUCGUUUAUAGACAGGCCGUGCUGGCUCAUCUAGUCGAUUGAGUUGUUGCACUAGUGACCAUCUGCACCUGAAGGCCUAAAAACAAUUACUCCUCGCCCAUGGCAGACAGUGCUAGCUGACCUCUAGUUAGUUUACUCCUUGCCCAUGGUAGACAGUGCUAACUGACCUCUAGUUAGUUUACUCCUUGCCCAUGGCAGACAGUGCUAACUGACCUCUAGUUAGUUUACUCCUUGCCCAUGGCAGACAGUGCUAACUGACCUCUAGUUAGUUACGGAGUUUUGGGUGUAGAGGAUUACGCUCAGGGGCGCCAUUCACUGCGCUCUGCUCCAGACACUCAGGGACAUCACUCACCACUCACUGGGCUCUGCUCCAGACCUGAUCUUUUCCCUGUCUUCUUUUGGUCCAUUUCCCACUCCCACUGGGAAAGCUCUUUUCCUUCUAACUUUUAGAAGGUUUUUUUGUUUCUUUGUUUUGGAAAUUAAAAGAUAAUUGCACUAUUUUCUAUUUUCCUUCCUUCAAUCCUCUUGUGUAUACCUUCUUCUCCCUCUGUCAAAUACAUGGCCUCUCCUCUUUUUCUCUAACAAUUGUAUUUAUAUAUGUAAAUAUGCAUACAUGCAAGUCCUCAUAAUGUUUCUUGUAUGUCAAUGCUUUCAGAGCUGACCCUUGGUAUUGAAUAACUAAUUAGGGAACUCUUCCCUGUGGAAGACUCUCCUGCUCUCAACAUCCCUUAGUUGCCUAGAGUUCGUUAUCUUAGGCUAGGGCUCGGUAAGAUUUCCCCCUUUCGUGUCAAUGUUUUUCGGGAUCAUUCAUUCUCCUCGUUUUCCUUGAGAUUUCAUAGGUAUGGCUUCCCUCGAAAUACAUUAGGAGAUACAAUUACACUACAGGCAUCCUGCUUCUCUGACUCUGAAAGCUUUUCUGUGGCCUCUUUCCUGGAAACUAGAUGCGGACCUUGUAUUGUAGGAUGAGAUGGGACUAGGCACCAUUUGUUCUCUGCAUUUUGAUGAGUUGUGGUUUUCUAUAAUGGUCUCCACCUAUCACAAAGAGAUGUUCCCGUACUGCGGGAUGAGAACUACACUGGUCUGCGAGGAUAGGAUCAAUCUUGAGAGUGUAGUUAGAGACUGUGCUAGUUUAGUAAAGUGUUAGUUUUAGGCCUUCUCCAAGAUCCAUUGACUUCACUAGCCUUGAGUAGUUGACUAGGUUUGGAGCACCAAACAUGAUUUCCCUCUUAUUGAGUAGGCCUGAAGUCCAAUUAGACAACUGUUGGUUACUGCCAUGUCCUUUGACCUCUUACAAUGACUUUGCCCUUUAUAGCUCCUGCCAUGCUCUAGGGUUAAGUCAUUAUGUAAGAUGUAGUAGUUCUGAUGUUAAGUUCUAAGCACCUACCAGAAAAAAAACAAAAUUUUAUUCAUCUUUAUCUUUAAUGUGUUCAAUACAUAAUUGGUGGAUUUAAAUUGAUAUUAUUAGUGAAUUAUCUUCCAAUUCACUUACUUUCCAGAAAACAUGUUAAUUUGUAAAUUAUUUUCCAUAUCAUUUAAACUUUUCUAUGUCAUUUUAAUUUGCUGUUGCUUGUGUCUUACAAUAGAACUGUUAAAUUUUUCAGAUUAGAAAUUUAAAGGAAAAGAAACUAUAGAAAGGUGACUACCAAUUUCUUAUGUUCUUAAAUUAUUUAUUAAAUGUGUAAGGAUGCUUUGUCUACAUGUAUGUGCACCAAGUAUGUGUCAUGUGCUCUUGGAGGUCCUGCUACCAGGGUUAAUAAAGAUGGUUAUGAGCCACCAUGUGGGGCAUGGUAGUUGUACCUGGGUCCUUUAGAAGAGCAACUUUACUCACUGAGCCAUCUCUCCAGCUCAGUUUCUUAAUUACAAGUAAAGGGGAUUUCUCUUCCUCUUAAAGUGAGUAAUUGGAAAAAUAAAUAUGAGACUAACGAAAGGAAAGUUAGAAGAUUUCAUUUUGUAAGAUGUAUAAAGGAGCAAAAGUUUGGGCUUGGAGCUAGGGACAGCUUAUAUAAACAUGAGGGGAGGAAAUUCAUGGUGAACAAAGACUAUCUUACUCAGAGUGUUAACCCGUCUUUGUGUGCAUACGUGUGAUAUGCUGAUGUUGGGUAUGGAGGUGAGAGGACAGCAUGGGGUCAGUUUUCUCCUUCCACUGUGUAGAUGCUGGAGAUGGCACUAGCGUUGGCAUACUUUUUGGCAAGCAUCCUUACCUGCUGAGCCAUCUCACUGGUCCAGAUUGUUGUAAGCUUUCAGGUAGCAUCCUUUAGAACAAUUAAUGCUAACCUGCCAGGGCCACUCUGAGCAAAGUGAGCAGCUGAUCUCUAACCGCCUUCUCCUUUGAUGAAAAGUUGUUUGACAGCUGCAUUCUAUUUUAUGAGCACCUGGUCUUUUGGGUAGCUUUUUGUUGCUAUUCCAAAAUACCUAACUUAACCAAAUUAAAAGUGAUACAGGGCCAGGCAGUGGUGAUGCAUGCCUUUAGUCCCUACCGUUGGGAGGCAGAGGCAGGCAGAUCUCUGUGAGUUUGAAGACAGUCUGGUCUACAUAGUGAGUUCCAGGACAGCCAGGGCUGUGUAGAAACCAUCUCUCAAACACACACACACACACACACACACACACACAGAGGUAAUGAAAGAGAUAGACAGACAGAGAGAGGGAGGGAACAAAGAGAAAGGGAGAAAGAAAGGAGGAAAGAAAGAAAAGUGGGCACAAAAAUAUUUGGAGUAUAUUUAAAAAUGAUGGAGCCUUUCAUAGGGAGCCAAGGUCUAGGAACUUGUCCACCACCCACUACCAAAACUGCCCCAAGCCAGUGGCUUUAAUCUUAUAAAUUUAAAGAAUGAACUUUGGGACCACUGAAGGUGAGUUUAACAAGUAUAGUAUAGAUUUAUAGGUGGGGAGCUUAAGACCAGAGCUUCACUGCCUUGAAGUUAAUAAGGCUUUACAAUGGUGUGUGUGUGUUUGCAGGCUGGGGGGAGGUACAUGAGAUGAUGAGUCCAGGUCCUUCCAGGUGCUGAGGUCAUAGAGUUUCUGCCGUGUCUUCAGGAUGGUUUCCAGGAAUGGGAUACUCUGGAAAUACCAGACCCCACUCCUGGCAUCUUCCAGCCUAUGGCAAGGACUAGACUGCCCACACACUCAAGGACAUUUCAAACAUUUAGCC